AUUGAACGCUGGCGGCAGGCCUAACACAUGCAAGUCGAACGAGUGGCGGACGGGUGAGUAAUGUCUGGGAAACUGCCCGAUGGAGGGGGAUAACUAGUGGAAACGGUAGCUAAUACCGCAUACACUCGGAUGUGCCCAGAUGGGAUUAGAUUGUAGGUGAGGUAACGGCUCACCUAGGCGACGAUGCCUAGCUGGUCUGAGCGGAUGACCAGCCACACUGGGACUGAGACACGGUCCAGACUCCUACGGGAGGCAGCAGUGGGGAAGAUUGCACAAUGGGCGCAAGCCGGAUGCAGCCAUGCCGCGUGUAUGAAGAAGGCCUUCGGGUUGUAAAGUACUUUCAGCGGAGAGGCGUUACCCGCAGAAGAAGCACCGGCUAACUCCGUGCCAGCAGCCGCGGUAAUAC
rnacentral:rRNA from 1 species